UUUCAGUACAAAUAAAUAUUUGCUUGGUUGAGGCUAACGGCNCAGCCACNNAAGGACAAAAAGACCCUUCUGAAGCNUUAUAUGGGAUAAAAUUCUAGGANCACAUACCACGGCGUUUAUAAGCUGAUGGCCCCAAGAAGCUGAGACCGAUGACGAUAAAGAGCCAGAAGAUGCAGCAGGUGGUAAACCACGAAGGACUGUUUAAUUGGGGCGAAUAACCUGUGUGGAAAAUUGUUUAUCA
rnacentral:rRNA from 1 species